AAAAAUCAAGAUGACAGCACUAUUUCCACAGUGAGUCAAGUGACUGAUGUAAAACAUGUUAUGACACAAAAUAUUGAUACAAUUUUGGAAAGAGAAGAAACACUGAAUAUAUUCCUUGGUAGAACAGAUGAUCUCCAAACAACUGCCAAAGAAUUCCAAAAAACAAGAGAGAUUCCCAGGAGGAUAUGGUGGAACUACUUCAAAAAGAUUGUAAUUAUCACCAUGGCAAUUAUCCUUUCAGUCAUUAUCAUUCUUUUAAGUAUAAAUGUAAUACCAACCUGACCCUUUUCUUCCCACCCCCUACAGGUACCAAUAAAUUGUUUUACGUAAUUAUAGUGUUCUACAACCAACAACUA